AACUUUUACAAUGCGGGAAACCGUGAUAAGGGAAUCUCGAGUGCCAGCAUAUAAUGUUGGCUGUCUGGAUGCCUAAAAAGCAUCUGUUAGCAAGGCCGGCAAGACCGGUGCCAGCCGCCGCGGUAACACCGGCGGCCCGAGUGGUGAUCGUGAUUAUUGGGUCUAAAGGGUCCGUAGCCGGUUUGGUCAGUCCUCCGGGAAAUCUGACGGCUUAACCGUUAGGCUUUCGGGGGAUACUGCCAGGCUUGGAACCGGGAGAGGUAAGAGGUACUACAGGGGUAGGAGUGAAAUCUUGUAAUCCCUGUGGGACCACCUGUGGCGAAGGCGUCUUACCAGAACGGGUUCGACGGUGAGGGACGAAAGCUGGGGGCACGAACCGGAUUAGAUACCCGGGUAG
rnacentral:rRNA from 1 species